rnacentral:rRNA from 1 species
ACGGAGGGGGCGAGCGUUGUUCGGAAUUACUGGGCGUAAAGCGCACGUAGGCGGCGUGUCAAGUCGGGGGUGAAAGGCCUGGGCUUAACCUGGGAACUGCCCUUGAUACUGGCAUGCUGGAGUCCGGGAGGGGGUGGCGGAAUUCCCAGUGUAGAGGUGAAAUUCGUAGAUAUUGGGAAGAACACCGGUGGCGAAGGCGGCCACCUGGCCCGGUACUGACGCUGAGGUGCGAAAGCGUGGGGAGCAAACAG